GACGAACGCUGGCGGCGUGCUUAACACAUGCAAGUCGAACGGAAAGGCCCUGCUUUUGUGGGGUGCUCGAGUGGCGAACGGGUGAGUAACACGUGAGUAACCUGCCCUUGACUUUGGGAUAACUUCAGGAAACUGGGGCUAAUACCGGAUAGGAGCUCCUGCUGCAUGGUGGGGGUUGGAAAGUUUCGGCGGUUGGGGAUGGACUCGCGGCUUAUCAGCUUGUUGGUGGGGUAGUGGCUUACCAAGGCUUUGACGGGUAGCCGGCCUGAGAGGGUGACCGGCCACAUUGGGCCUGAGAUACGGCCCAGACUCCUACGGGAGGCAGCAGUGGGGAAUAUUGCCCAAUGGGCGGAAGCCUGAUGCAGCAACGCCGCGGGCGGGAUGACGGCCUUCGGGUUGUAAACCGCUUUCGCCUGUGACGAAGCGUGAGUGACGGUAAUGGGUAAAGAAGCACCGGCUAACUACGUG
rnacentral:rRNA from 1 species